UUCCGGGAUCACCAACAACCUAACUGUUGGUUUUACGGGCUUACCAACAACCUACGUUGGUUUUACGGGCUUACCAACAACUUACGUUGGUUUUACUGGCUUACCAACAAACCUUACAAUAAGAAUAAAGAACAAGGAUCUAAAGCUCCUAAAUGAGCAAAUAAAACAAUUAUGAGCUACAAAGAAGAGUUUAGAAUAUAGUUAUCGCUUUAAUAAGGCUCUUCUCUUUUUUGUCAAGAUUGCUUCACUCUUCAAGGGUUGGUGGAGCUCUUAAUAUCUCUUGGAAUCUGCUCAACCACUUUCUUUUGGCUCUUUGAAUGAAGCAAUUGAAUGAAGCUUGCCUUGCUAGGAUUUUCUCUUGAAUGCACUUGAUGAUUUUUAAAAGGUUGCUUCCUUUGAUGAAUACUCCCUCUUAAAUACUUCUCCAAUCUCCAAAUAGACCUUCCUGACCAUUGGAUUGAAGAAACUAGCCGUUUAUAGCCGUUGAGAGUCCAAAAAGCACUUCUGCACAACUAGCCGUUAUGCUGUCAGUCGUGCUCGGGUCGACCCAACCUUUCCUAGGGUCGACUCAAACCACUGUUCAUCAGACUUGGGGUCGACUCAACUUUCACUAGGGUCGACCCAACUUUCACUGGGGUCGACUCAUGCUACAUUGGGGUCGGUCCUCUCAGGAAACACAGAAUCUUACAUUUCAGCCGUUUUUCACUGGGGUCGACUCAACUCUUUUGGGUCGACUCAAGGUUCAGUGGGGUCGACUCAAGUUCCAUUGGGGUCGAUCCUCUCAGGAAACACAGAACCUUAUAUUUCAGCCGUUUUUCACUGGGGUCGACUCAACUCUUUUUGGGUCGACUCAAGGUUCAGUGGGGUCGACUCAAGUUCCAUUGGGGUCGACCCUCUCAGGGAUUCCAGAGACCCAGUUUUGGAAUGACACAGCCUUGGGGUCGACUCAUGUUCAGUUGGGGUCGACUCAAGGUGGGGUCGACUCAAGUUACAUUGGGGUCGACCCUCUCAGAGAUUCCAGAGACUUGNN
rnacentral:lncRNA from 1 species